GAUUCUGCUUCUCGGUUAGUUGAGAAAAAUAUAGCAAAGUCUCUUUGUAUAGAUGAGAAACCAAUGCAUCAAACCAAGAUUUUAAACUGCCUCAAAAACUUUGUCAUGCAUCUUAAGGUGGAGCGUCACGAGCAGGCUCGAGGGACGGCGGUGACUUGUUUUAACUGUCGAAGCAUUGAUGCUUAUUAGGCCUCCUUGAUAGCAACAGCCUCCUUGACCUCGGUGGCUUCACUGCCCGUUUCCUUGGCAGGUUCACUUCUUCUGGGACAGUAAAAGUUGAUAGAGGGAAAGUCCUGGACAGUGUGGUUGGUGUCUUGAAUGUGAUCUUCCCUCCGUCCUCUGUGAAAACCUUUUACUCUUUGUCUUUGCUGUGUUCUGCUCUGGUUCAGUGAUCUCAGUUUUCUUUUUUUCUUACAGAGCAAGACAGAGACCAUGAAUGGUAAUUCAAGGAGAGAAUCAGAAACUGAGUCUUCAUCAAGCCUUGAGUCUUGAGACCCUCCUAGCAGAUCAUCUGCUUUUGAUAGAUUUCCUAGCAGAUCAUCUGCUUUUGAUAGCUUACGAAGAUAGAAGAGGAGGGUCUGGUUACAGAAAAAAUGAAAUUACUCGAAAAACGGUAAUGAAGCUGCACAUGAAGAGUUGAUGAGAUUCUUCCGAGCAUCUCACCGUUGCGGAGAUUAUUGCAUGGCUUAACAACGGCAGCAGUGAAGAUGGCGGUUCUUGGUUGGCCGCCUUCACUGAGAUUUCAUCAAGAGAUAUAAACGUUUCUUUGAUCUUGUUGCAGAGAUGGUGGAUUGCAUUUAUGAAAUUAGCCUCUGGACCCAAGUCCUUCAGCUCCAGCAUCCGAUGAAAAGCUUUUCAGAACGUCUGGAUCUUAUAUUCUCGGCUUCCACCACCGUAUACAAUCAUUUGUUGUUACACACCAGAAUGGAGCUUCGUUGGCAGAGCAAUUGAAGAAGGGUGUUGUUCUCCCUAGAGGUCAGACACAUGGUCUAUCUACACU